AUAGUAAUUUCAAAUACUACCAUGGCUUUCUAUACUAACUAGUCAGCUGCCCUUGGCUUCAUUUAUUCUCUUGGAGGAAGGAUGGUAAAGAGUGUCUGGUAUGUUCUGUGACAGAAUGAGAGUUGGCAAUUGGGACAAGUGCUAAGAAAAGCAAUAUGGCCGCUCCUCCCUUCAUAGAAGUCUUUUGGAUCCAGCCUCCCAAAGUCCCCAAGAUAUACACAGACUGUCAUGCUGGACAACAGGAGUAGUUUCUCAGACUGGUAACACUGCCCAGGUUCCAGACUUCCAGUGAGCAGCCUUGGGAGACGAACUACCAGCUCUCUGGUCUAUGGUUGCAAACAAAACAAUCUAGUGUUACUAUAUGUGCAUAUUUAACUAGUUUCGAAAAUUAAGGCACUACUAAGAUACAAA